UAUUUAUUUAAAAUUAUUUUGUGCUUUAUGAUUAUUGAUUUUGGUAAUAUGAAAAGUGAGAUCAUUAACAUGAGACUUCGUUUUGUCUGGAAUUUCUUCUGAUAACUAUCAAACGCUUCCUUUCUGGAACUCUUUACAUGAAUUCAAUGAACAGAUAUCGAGAUAUGGCAUAUUUCUGGUAUACUGUAUAGCUGACUGAGGAAGCUUCAAAUUUUCGGUAAAGGGUCUAGAAGAGACUUCAGAAGACGCAGUUGGUUGGUUUCCAUGUCCAUACACUGGUCUCUCACUUUGAAGGCAUGAACUGCGUUAGGGACUUUUGCUGAGAAUUUCUGUAGCACUGUUAAUACAUGAUUCAGUGUUGCGAAAUUAUCAAAAGAAUGACAGAGAGCCAUACUUAUUAAAAAUAUUUUCACAAGUGGGAGGCUUUUUUAGGCCCUUCAAGGGGGAAGUGGGUUUAAAUAAAGAAAAGAAGCAGCAUUUUUUAAGACAUGGUUCAAGCAAAUCUUAUUGAAUUCUCAAUUAUUGAGACUGGUUUUCUUCCUUCACCUACUGAUCACAGAAGUUGAUGAGAGUGCUUUAUUUUGUUGUGCAUUUACAAUCAGUAUGGUUCUUGUGCAUGCAUGUCUUUCUUAAUCGUUGGUUCAUGUGAAUGCAUCUGUUAUUGCCAUAUUAUGUACUCG
rnacentral:misc_RNA from 1 species